rnacentral:lncRNA from 1 species
UUACAAAUGCCUUAGGAAAUGUUCCUAGGCCAUAAAACACCUUCAGCUUCCUAAACAAGAAGACUUCAAACCAUAAGCAGGUUUUCUUGUGAUGCCUGCUGUACUUGUUGUGGUGUGUCUAACUUCAAAGCUCAGGCCCUUAUUUAUAGUUCCAAGACGAGACAACAAGUCUAAUUUUCCCGAUGUGGGACUAUGGGACUUGCCAAACUAACAAAUCUCCACCUUGGCAUGUCCCAACAAAAC